GGCCGCCUCUUUUUCUCUCAUUCUUCACUCUCUAACCCUAGAACUCUAGAAGAUUUCUUCCUGUCUCCUUUCUCCUCCCCAAGCUAGCAAAGCCUCCAACCCUUCUCCUAUCUCUACCCAUCCUGUCGCCUCCAGCCUUGAACCCCGUUCUCAUUCCCGUCGCCCCGCCCUAGCGGUCACCUCCGCCCGCCAUCCACGCCUUCUUCCAUAAGAAGAUUUAACUAUGGACAAAGGAUUGGGCCAAAGUUCCUCCCUUCGUACUUGGAAAUAUGAGCAAGAAUGUAAAUAAAACUUUGAAGUUAUUGAUGAUUGAAUACUUGUAGUGAAAUCUCAAUUAGUUGUUGAAACUUAGAAGCUGGAAGCAUAGAAGACUUGAAUGUUUAUAAUUUGUUGAGGAGUAAAACUUUAUUUUAGUUGA